GGCGGAUUUCCCAAGCGGUCAAAGGGAGCUGACUGUAAAUCAGCCGCUAUUAGCUUCAGUGGUUCGAAUCCACUAUCCGCCA
rfam:Bifidobacterium bombi DSM 19703 DSM19703_C2, whole genome shotgun sequence.